AUUGAACGCUGGCGGCAGGCCUAACCCCUGCAAGUCGAACGAGUGGCGGACGGGUGAGUAAUGUCUGGGAAACUGCCUCAUGGAGGGGGAUAACUACUGGAAACGGUAGAUAAUACCGCAUACCAUCGGAUGUGCCCAGAUGGGAUUAGCUAGAAGGUGGGGGAACGGCUCACCUAGGCGACGAUCCCUAGCUGGUCUGAGAGGAGGACCAGCCACACUGGAACUGAGACACGGUCCAUACUCCUACGGGAGGCAGCAGUGGGGAAUAUUGCACAAUGGGCGCAAGCCUGAUGCAGCCAUGCCGCGUGUAUGAAGAAGGCCUUCGGGUUGUAAAGUACUUUCAGCGGGGAGGCGUUACUCGCAGAAGAAGCACCGGCUAACUCCGUGCCAGCAGCCGCGGUAAUAC
rnacentral:rRNA from 1 species